UUCAAGGAAAUUGCACCGACAAAAAUUUUUAUUUUUUUAUUUUUGAUUCAAAUGAGAAAGGAAAUUUCAAGGAAAUUGCACCAACAAAUUUUCUAUGUGUAAGGGUAAUUAGGCCUAAUAUAUAGAGUAAUUGGAGAAAAGAAUGAAAAAAUGGAAGAAGGCGAGAUCGGAUCAAGUUACCACUUAUUUAAUCUAAAAUAAAAAAGGAAGAAGAAUGCGUUUGUUGGUGAUUCUUUUGGUGAUUCUUCUACAACUUCAGUUUUCUUUCAUUGCUCCCAAGUGCUUCAGUUUAGAAAUGCAGGAAUUUAUAAAUUAUAAUGUGAAAUUAACAGACAAUCAUCGAUUGCUAACAACAAUAAAUAAGCGAGGUGGUCUUGGUGGACAUGGUGGUAAAGGAGGAAGAGCAGUAGGAGGAUAUUACGCCAGCAGUGACGGGCGAGGGCAUGGUGGAAAAGGAUACGGCCGCGGAAAGGGAGGAAGGUUGCCAUAUGCACGAGCAACGGAAAAUGCCGCAAGUAGGACUAGAAACAACCAACAUGGAUCAACUUGUCAUAAUGCACAUUUUAAGUUAACUCUACAUUUGUUUUUAUUAGGUCUUGGAAUUUGUCUCAUUUAGGUCAAGUCCACUUUUUUGUAGCUAGAUGUUAGAUUGUUACAAUUUUCCCUAAAAAUAGUUACAUUACUGUAUAGUGAAAAAAUAAAAUGUUGCAUAGUGAUUUUGUGAUUUCAAACAUGCACGUAGAUUUUAAUUGAUCGCUCAUAUCAAAAUCUGGUAAGCUUAAUCUUAUAUGAACCAAGUAAUUGAAGA